CCUACGGGUGGCAGCAGUGGGGAAUAUUGGGCAAUGGGCGCAAGCCUGACCCAGCAACGCCGCGUGAAGGAAGAAGGCUUUCGGGUUGUAAACUUCUUUUCGGAGGGACGAAGAAAGUGACGGUACCACAGGAAUAAGCCACGGCUUACUACGUGCCAGCAGCCGCGGUAAUACGGCAGGGCCGGGCGUUAUCCGGAUUUAUGGGGUUUAAAGGGAGCGUAGGCGGCAUGGCCAGCGUGCUGGGAAAUGUCCGGGCUCAACCCGGGCCUUGCAGCGCAAACUGGCGUGCUUGAGUCCGCGGGAAGCAGGCGGAAUUCGUCGUGUAGCGGUGAAAUGCUUAGAUAUGACGCAGAACCCCGAUUGCGAAGGCAGCUUGCUGCAGCGGAACUGACGCUGAUGCUCGAAAGCGCGGGUAUCGAACAGGAUUAGAUACCCGAGUAGUC
rnacentral:rRNA from 1 species